rnacentral:rRNA from 1 species
UACAGAGGAGCCAAGCGUUGUCCGGAUUGACUGGGCGUAAAGCGCACGCAGGCGGAUGUGCGCGUGGGGUGUGAAAUCUGGCCGCUUAACGGCCAGGCGCCAUCCCAUACGGCACGUCUGGAGGGCUGCAGAGGUCGAUGGAAUUGCCGGUGUAGCGGUGAAAUGCGUAGAGAUCGACAGGAACACCCAGGGGGAAACCAGUCGACUGGGCAGCACCUGACGCUAAUGUGCGAGAGCGUGGGGAGCGAACCGG